AAUCAACGCUGGCGGCGUGCCUCAGACAUGCAAGUCGAACGAUUAAACUUUCCUUCGGGGAAGAUAUAGAGUGGCGCACGGGUGAGUAACACGUAAGUAAUCUACCCUUGGGUGGGGAAUAACAUCGGGAAACCGAUGCUAAUACCGCAUAAUGCAGCGGCUUCUUAUGAAGACAGUUGUUAAAGCAUUUAUGUGCCUGAGGAGGAGCUUGCGGCAGAUUAGCAGUUGGUAAGGUAAUGGCUUACCAAGGCGACGAUCUGUAGCCGACCUGAGAGGGUGGUC
rnacentral:rRNA from 1 species